rnacentral:lncRNA from 1 species
GAAACCCCAAAUCGCUGCUGACCUGCUGUUGUUGUUCGAGUCCGAGGGCAGGGGUCUUGAACUUGCUCGAUUUCUUCACGAAUCACGGCUCAUCCUCAGGUAUGUAUUAUGCUAUGGGAUUGACCGGCUGCUGCUGUGCCUGCUCUUGUUCGACUGCAAGCUGCUGCGCUACUUGUUGUGGUCUUGUUUGACUUCUUCAAUCUUCAUAAGGU